UCGUAUAACGGAGGUACCUCAGGGCUGUCGCUGACCUUUACAGGUUGUGCACGCCCAAAGGUGCUCUCUCAUAUCCAUCUCACCCCUUUGUGCAUCACCGCGUGUGCUUCCCUGUUGGGCUUGUUCCGAAGGGGGGUUCACGUUUUUAAUACAAACAACCAUUAUUAAAAAGCAUGUAUAGAAUGCCUUACAUUUUGCGAUUAUGCGCAAUCAAUA
rnacentral:misc_RNA from 1 species